rnacentral:ncRNA from 5 species
CGAAUGUUGCUCGGUGAACCCCUU